UGAAGCGGGCGCGGGAGGUGGCGGCGGCCGCCCAGGUCUGGCGUUUGUCAUGGAGCUGGUGCGGGAAGCGCGGGAACUGGACUGCUGGGCGGUAGAAGAGAUGGGGGUACCCUUGGCAGCUCGAGCCCCGGAGUCGACGUUGCGUAGGCUGUGUCUGGGUCAGGGAGCUGACAUCUGGGCAUAUGUCCUGAAGCAUGUCCACAGUCAGAGGAGUCUAAAGAAGAUCCGGGGAAAUCUGCUCUGGUAUGGUUACCAGGAUAGUCCAGAGGUUCGUCGCAAGUUGGAACUGGAAGCCACGGCUGCCCGCCUCCGAGCUGAGAUCCAAGAGCUGGACCAGAGCCUAGAGCUGAUGGAUCAGGAGACCGAGACUCAAAACAUAGCCGAGGAGCAGGCACUGCAGAGCAUGCGUGACACCCAGCGUCAGGCUCUCCUCCUCCAGGCCCAAGCCGGGGCUGUGUGGAAACAGCAGCAUGGACUCCGAGGACCCAUGCAGCGGCUGCACAACCAGCUCAAGCGCCUGCAGGACAUGGAAAGGAAGGCCAAAAUGGAGGUGACCUUUGGCCCCCUGACAUCAGCAACCCUGGCCCUGGAGCCUGAGGCCUUGCGGGAUGUCCGAGCAGCCUGCAACCUCCGCGCCCGGUUCCUUCAGAACCUCCUCAUGCCCCAGGCCCAAGGAGGCCCUGUCCAAAACUCUCGAGAUGACCAAUUUGGAACUUCCUACCAGCAGUGGCUUAGCUCAGUGGAGACCCUGCUGACAAACCACCCACCAGGCCAUGUGCUGGCCGCCUUGGAGUACCUGGCUGCAGAGCGGGAGGCUGAGAUCCUAGCCCAAUGCCGCAGUGAUGAUGGACUGGGAGAGGCCCAGCUACCCAGACCCCAGGUACCCGACCAGUCAGAUUCUGACCAGCCAGCACCAUCCAUGGUACAUCUCAUCCAGGAAGGCUGGCAGGCCCUUGGUGCGCUGGUCACUCAGCAGGGCGCCCUCCUGAAAGAAUACCAGGUCCUCACUGGCCGCCUCCAGGAUGUGGUGGAAGAGGUGGAGAAAUGCGUCCUGGCAUCAAGCCAGAGGAAGGUGCUGAUGCUGGGGCUUCGGUGCUGUGGCCUCAGAGCAGAGCUCAAGGCCCUGUGUGCCCAGAGCCAGGAGUUGGAGGAGACAGCUGAACACCAGCAGCUUCUGCUGAAGGAGCUCCAGGCCAAGCAGCAGAGGAUCCUGCACUGGCGCCGGCUGGUGGAGGAGACCCAGGAACAGAUCCGCCUGCUCAUCAAGGGAAACUCAGCCAGCAAGACGCGCCUGGGCCGGGGUCCUGGGGAGGUGCUGGCUCUGCUUGAGCGGAAGGUGGUUCCCACUUCUGAGGCUGUGGCACCACAGAGCCAGGAGCUGCUCCGCUGCCUGGAGGAGGUAGCCCGGCAUCUGCCAGAUAUUCUGCUGGGCCCCUUGCUGCGGCACAGCCCCGAAGGCUCCAAGCCACUGCCCACCAUCCUGCCAUCCAUCCACCAGCUGCACCCCACACCUCCAGUGGGCUCUAGCCUCAUAGCACUGAGCCACAUACUGGGGCUGCCUGCAGGGAAGGCACCAGAGCUGCUCCUCCCGAAGGCUGCCUCUCUUCGCCAAGACCUUCUAUUCCUCCAGGACCAGCGCAGUCUCCGCUCCGCCAGUUUACUCCACCUGAAGACCCAUCUACAGCCAGAAUUGACCACCCAGGAGCUGCUGCAGGUCCAGGCCUCCCAGGAAAAGGAGCAGAGAGAGAGCGUGGGACAGGCUCUGAAGCGGCUGGACAACUUGCUCAAGCAGGCGCUGAAGCGUGUCCCUGAGCUGCAGGGGGUCGUGGGGGACUGGUGGGAGCAGCCAGGCCAGGCUGCCCUUUCCGAGGAGCUCUGCCAGGGCCUGUCUCUUUCCCAAUGGCAUCUGCGCUGGGUCCAGGCACAAGGAGCCCUGCAGCAGUUGUGCAAAUGAAGAGAAGCUCAAAUCAGAGUCAAGAAUCUAGCCAGGCGCCGGUAGCUCACACCUGUAAUUGUAGCUACCCAAGAGGUUGAGAUUUGAGGAUCAUGGAGAUGGGAAGAG